UGACCAAGGAUUUGCCACUGAAGAAGGUCUACAUGGAGGCAAGAGAGAAUGCACUUGCUGAAGACAUUACAGGAAUUGACUUCAAGGGGGCACUUCUCCUCUUGCCAUCCAUCUUCAAGGAGAAGAUAGAAGAUUUCAUCAUCCUUGGAGAGAAUACUCCCACGAGUCCAUACCCAACCAUUCGAAUGAAGGAUAAGAGUUGGAC